rnacentral:lncRNA from 1 species
ACACUUGCUGGACACAUAGCGGUAUGUCAGUAUCAGCAAACUGAAGUGAAUUCACCAAGUUUAUACAUUGCCUUCACAUCAUUACUCAAAUAAAUCCUACAGUACAUAGUCUCGCAAUAUACAUCAUUCUAUUUUGCCGAAUAUUUCAUUUCAAUUGGAAGGAAAAAUUGAUUGAGAAAUUUGAUCUGAAAUAAAUAGCAAUCAACUAUGGUGCUCAAGCAAUAGUCACCUUAAAAUCCCAAAAAUAAAAGAACUCAUUAAGCAAUCUGACCACGCCCUCAAUGAGCGGGGGACUUGCACCUGCAGUCUGCAGAGGAGAAGAGAUCAAACAAUCCAUAUGGGCAUACCAUCGAGUAGAUGGUGCGCGGAAAAUGUUGUUGGAUUCGAGGUUCUUUUAAGCUUAGAAUUAUUCGAAUCACAAUUGACUGUAGUAUUUGGACUCUAUCAGUAUCAAUUGCUUGUGAUAGGUGUCUGAUAUACAUGACCAGUUGCUAGCUUCCCUUUCAACUCUCAGUUUCAACACACAAUAAUUCUUCCUAAGUCCCUUGCAGUUUGGUGUCCCAUAUUCUAGACCGUGCUACCUCUGUUUUGGUAAGAACUUGUGCAUCCGCAUAUUGUUCCAUUGCAAUCAGUCGCACAUCUUAGGAACAACAUGUCAUGGAUCUUAUUUCCAUUAUCAUCUCAAUUCUUCAUCACUCCAGAAUGAGCGUGAGUAGAUUCAGUGAGUAUGUUGCUUAUAAGUGGUAAAGAAGACUCCAUCUGUAAAAUAAUAUAAGACUUUUUAGAUCACUACUUUAAUGAUCUAAAAGAUCUUAUAUAUUACCUCACACAGGGAGUAUGAGUUUGCCAAGCACCUAGAAGAGAUCAUAGAUAACCAUAGGAAACUAUUAUGGGUUUCCAGUUUCUUCGAAAGUGGGAAACUUCAGGACACAGUUCCUGAGGAAUUCCAUAACUAUUUAACCAUACUUUAUCUACAGGCGAAACAGGAAUCUAUGUGUUUUCUAAAUCAAUCAGUCAAUGACAAGCUGCUUAGGGCACCUAGAUGCCUAACAUUGAAGACUAUGACAACUCAGAAUAGCUAUGACCAGAACGAAGAUGAUCUGGAAGCAUUAUGUAAUCCAAUAAGAAACUUCCUUCAAGCGGAAAGUAUUGUUAUUGGAAAUAAGGAAUGUUCAGCCAUCAUCUCUGACCGUAAGUACAGGCCUGCAGUUUGUAUUUGAAUUGUCAUGAUAUUUGAAGCAGCAGAGCACUUUUCAAUCAAUUACGAGAGGCAUUCGCUUCUCUGAUCUUCAUCCCACCAAUGCGUUGUACGACUCUCCACCCCCUUUUCCUCCCUCGUGAAAUCUUAAUUUCCCGCAAUGAAAUUCGAUUUCGAGUUCUAUUCGAUACUGGUAGGAGAAGAACCCGACUAGGCAUUCUUAAAAAAAGAGGGGAAGUUUCAGCUCCACUGUCUAUUAUGUGGUUAAGGAGGCUGAUGGAUGCACCCCAAGUGAAACUAAUUUACAUGACCACCCAGUUCCACUAAGAUUGAUUAAACAGUGGGGAAAUGCUAUGGGUAUCCCUAGUUCCUUCUUGACACCUGUCCUCAUGAUGAGUAGGAAUGUACUUCUGCACACAUGCUUGACUGGUGAGUUGGUGAAUCCUUGACUGUUUGUAAGAUAUUGUAUACCCUGAAUCAAACCGGUGCUGCUGUUUUACUAAAAGUUAUUAUCCCUAUGCGAAGGGCACAUGCUCUACUGGCUAAAUCUAAAGUAAGGCUUUUCUGUACAUUCUCUUGCGUGUUUUUAGCUCCAGUCGUCAAUCUUUUUUGCAACACUCACCCUCUGCUGUUACCUCAUUAUUUUCAUGAUUCCUUAUUCUGUGAUACUGUUCUUCAAACUGAACUUAUAGAAGCUCAAACCAGUUCCGAAAGAGAACCUUGAAAUUUCUUCACUGAAUGAGUUGGGCCCAUUCCGUCGAAGAACUUGAAUCACACGCCUGCACAACUCUUCUAUUUCAUGGGUAAAGUAUUGCAUGAACGCGCAACCUGCAUGAACGCACAAUUGACAAUCAGUGUCAUACUUCUGAUUGUAUUGAAAAUGAACAUUGUAAUAGUAAAGUAUUGCUCGCCUCCUGCCAUGAGGAAACAUGGUUCUACAAACGACUUUUAAUUCUUGCUCUUGUGGCAUCAUCAAACUCUUUCUUAACAAUGCAGCCCAAUGUAGAAAACUCAUUGAAUAAAUCCACAAAGAAAGAUAUACCAGACAUUCCCUUUCUGAAAAAGACAACAAAGAUUCAUCUAUGGAACUAAGGUUAGAACAUCAGUUUCCAUAGCUGAAAUACCAAGUUAGUUUCAGAGAAACAACACAGUUUAAUAUUAAUAAUAUAUCAUGUAAUUAUCAUCCGUGUUUUCCGUAACAAAUACAAUAUCCUGCUAGAACAACUACCCUGGAAAUUGCGGUUGAAUCAGAAAGCCUUGUACGUGCUCAAUAUCACCAUGCAUUCAGAACAUGACACCAACCAAAUUGUCUGACCAUGGAGAGUUCAAGCAGUAAUGAAUUAUCAUUGGGUGAAAAAAGUUCUAAAAAAUGUGCGUAAACUGAAGAAGCAUAUAUCAUCUUGGGGAGCCUCUUCCUAUGCUUGGCAUUCUAUUAGUGCAGUAGAUGCUCCCACCCGGCGCGCGCGCACGCACACACACACACACACACACCAGAGAAGGAAUCAAGAAAUACCCAAGGCAACAAAUGGAUAUCAAAGAGAAAAACCAGAAGAAGGCGAGAAGAAACCUUGUGCGUCGCUUCAUCUUGUAGCCGUUCCUGGGGGCGGUGACCAUGAAAAUGUAGCAGGGGGCGGGGCUUCCAGGGAGAGUGGGAUGGCUACAUUUAAAAAUAGAGAAGAUGUA